GAUGAACGCUAGCUACAGGCUUAACACAUGCAAGUCGCGGGGCAUCAUGGAGGUUGCUUGCAAUUUCUGAUGGCGACCGGCGCACGGGUGAGUAACGCGUAUCCAACCUUCCCAUUACUACGGCAUACCCCGUUGAAAGGCGGCCUAAUUCCGUAUGCAGUCCGAAGCAGUCAUCUAAUUUGGACGAAAGGUAUAUUCUAUCGGUAAUGGAUGGGGAUGCGUCCGAUUAGCCGGCCGGCGGGGUAACGGCCCACCGGGGCAUUGAUCGGUAGGGGUUCUGAGAGGAAGGUCCCCCACACUGGAACUGAGACACGGUCCAGACUCCUACGGGAGGCAGCAGUGAGGAAUAUUGGUCAAUGGGCGUAAGCCUGAACCAGCCAAGUAGCGUGCAGGAUGACGGCCCUAUGGGUUGUAAACUGCUUUUAUGCGGGGAUAAAGUUGGGGACGUGUCCCUUUUUGCAGGUACCGCAUGAAUAAGGACCGGCUAAUUCCGUGCCAGCAGCCGCGGUAAUACGGAAGGUCCGGGCGUUAUCCGGAUUUAUUGGGUUUAAAGGGAGCGUAGGCAGUUUUUUAAGCGUGCUGUGAAAUGUACCGGCUCAACCGGUGAUGUGCAGCGCGAACUGGGAAUCUUGAGUACGCAGUAAGCAGGCGGAAUUCGUGGUGUAGCGGUGAAAUGCUUAGAUAUCACGAAGAACUCCGAUUGCGUAGGCAGCUUGCUGUAGCGUAACUGACGCUGAAGCUCGAAAGUGCGGGUAUCGAACAGG
rnacentral:rRNA from 1 species